rnacentral:rRNA from 1 species
CCUACGGGUGGCAGCAGUGGGGGAUAUUGCACAAUGGGGGAAACCCUGAUGCAGCGACGCCGCGUGUGGGAAGACGGUCCUCUGGAUUGUAAACCACUGUCCCCAGGGACGAAGAUGACGGUACCUGGGGAGGAAGCUCCGGCUAACUACGUGCCAGCAGCCGCGGUAAUACGUAGGGAGCGAGCGUUGUCCGGAAUUACUGGGUGUAAGGGGAGCGUAGGCGGGACUGCAAGUUGGGUGUCAAAUCUACCGGCUCAACCGGUAGCCGCACUCAAAACUGCAGUUCUUGAGUGAAGUAGAGGCAGGCGGAAUUCGUAGUGUAGCGGUGAAAUGCGUAGAUAUUAGGAGGAACACCGAUGGCGAAGGCAGCCUGCUGGGCUUUUACUGACGCUGAGGCUCGAAAGUGUGGGGAGCGAACAGGAUUAGAUACCCGGGUAGUC